AGACGAGAGAUGAGGUUAAUUUUCCUAUUGGUUUGAUUGGCUGAUAUGAUGGCCUCAAUACUGAACCAAAUCUGAUCAUCC
rfam:Triticum aestivum genome assembly, contig: Triticum_aestivum_CS42_TGACv1_scaffold_052473_1BS